rnacentral:rRNA from 1 species
AUUGAACGCUGGCGGCAGGCCUAACACAUGCAAGUCGAACGAGUGGCGGACGGGUGAGUAAUGUAUGGGAAACUGCCCGAUGGAGGGGGAUAACUACUGGAAAAGGUAGCUAAUACCGCAUACCAUCGGAUGUGCCCAGAUGGGAUUAGCUAGUAGGUGGGGUAAUGGCUCACCUAGGCGACGAUCCCUAGCUGGUCUGAGAGGAUGACCAGCCACACUGGAACUGAGACACGGCCCAGACUCCUACGGGAGGCAGCAGUGGGGAAUUUUGCACAAUGGGCGCAAGCCUGCUGCAGCCAUGCCGCGUGUAUGAAGAAGGCCUUCGGGUUUUAAAGUACUUUCAGCGGAGAGGCGUUACCUGCAGAAGAAGCACCGGCUAACUCCGUGCCAGCAGCCGCGGUAAUUC